UUGUGCAUCUGUUUUGUAUGUGUGUGUGUUGAGCCAUAUACGUGCCAUCUAACUCCAUGUCUCUGGAUGAACAGCAGCAGGUGAUGUGUGAUUUACUAAAUCUUACUCAGCAGAGGCAAGGUGAGGUGAAGAGUGUGUGUCAGUGUGUGCGCGAGUGUGUGCGUUAAGCCUCCGGCUGCUGAAAAGGUUAGAUAUAUUGAUUUUGUACCUAAGAGACAGACUGGAACAGGGAGACAAAUGGACUACAGUGGAGGAGCUGUCUCAUCGGGGCCCCUACCAUGUCAGUCCCCUUAAGAGAACGAGAGAGGGAGUUAUAGAAAGAGUGAGUCUUUGAACAAGUACGCCUCUCCCUACAGUUCCAGGACCUCUCCACUUUAGACACCUGAAGAAUGCCCACUUCAGAAGACUUUCGUAUCUUGGAAAUAUCUGAGCACAGUUAAUGAUAAAGUUGUGGUAUCUUUGCAAACUCCAGAGAAGACACAAGUGACAUUAUCAAGGGUUGCAGGGAUGCUGAUGUCCAGUGAAGUCCAGUGUCACAGGUUUUUGGAUUGUAGGAGAAACUGGUGCACCCGGAGGAAACCCACGCAGACACGGAGAGAACGUGCAAGCUCCACACAGAAAACGCCUUCAUUGCUCAGCCGGGACUUGAACCGGGGAGACCUUCUUGCUGAGGCAACAGUUCUACCCACUGAGCCACCAUUGACCUGCAACUUGCAUGCUUCCUAUUUCCAUGGGAACAGUUUGCCCACAUUGGAUCAGCAUCCCCAGAAGUGGGCAGUUGUGUUUUAGGAGAACUCUGCCCUGAAGCAGAUGAAGCACCAGCGUACACAUUAAUAUUUCCAAGUCAAUGCUCCUGACAAGUUUGACUGCACAGAUGGCAAAAGUGGCCAAGAUGAAUCAGACGCUUCAAAAGGUGCUGUGCAAUGUCAAGACUAAACAAGAGAGUUGACGAAUUCCAGGUUAGUUCCCAUGUAUUAUUGUUGAUGAACAUUUUGUGAGAAGGUAUAAUGUCAUUUUUGAGAGGCCCAAGUUUAAUGGCCAUAAACAAGAACAUGGAGAGUCAGCAGAUACUUUUUUAUACAUUAAUUUUGUAAUUGUUUUUUUAAUAUGUUGUCAUUGGCAUAAAAGACAUGACACUUCCAGAAAAACUCCAAAAGGACCCUGAAUUAAUGUUAAGCAGAAGCAUCAGCCAAGUGUAACGGAGUGAGAUAGUGAAACAGCAGCAGGAUGUUGUAGAGCAUUUCUCCACAGACUGAGGAAAAGAGUGAUGUUGCUGCAGUCUCAUGCCCAGUGAAGAAGAAAAAAAAAUAAAAAAAUAAACAUAAUGCAUAAACUCAGGAUGGCACACUUAUAUAACACUAAAUGGGGACAUUAUCUUAUUCAAAAUAGAUACGAGAGCUGCAGUCACAGCUAUUCUCACAAAGCUAUUUGAAUGUAAGGGAUGAGCCUUUGAUAGCAACAUAAAACUUUUUAUGGAUCUAGUAAUACUUCGCUACUGGAAGGACAAGUAAAGCAAAAACACAUAAUCAGUCAACCAGUCUUCAAAAAAGUUUCAGUUCUUGGGCCUUACAGCUUGUGUAGUGGAUAGAUACAGUAAAACUUGCUGAAGAAAAGUUUAGUGAAAAUGUCCAGGCUAAUUAUGCACUCAAAAAAAUAUUUUUUUGCUGCUUGUUUAGUUUAAUUCAGACGAGCUAAAGCAGCAUGGUUAUUGAACAUCUCGUUAUGUUCAAUCCACCUACGUUUGUAAAAUGGAAGUUGACUUAAUCCUUUUGUUUUGUGACUACUUGAAUCAUUUUUGCUGGCAUUUUGCUUUUAAUUUCCAGCAUGCUUUGCAUGUGCCUGAAUUGAAAGAGUAAAUGUUGAAAGUGUUAUUUUUUUUGAGUAAAGGGAAACAGUUUCAUGUUCAGUAAUGUUGGAGAUUUAGAAGAAGUUCUGUUAAGUUGGAGUUUUUGUGGGUGUUGUUGUGUUGAAGAGUAAAGCCUGUGCUCAGGUUGUAGGCGGCAACAUGAUGACUAUGUUGCUUCACUUAGUAAGUAAUAACGCCACUAAUGCGAUUGUAUUGACCUGUCUAUUCUUAUUUGCACCUCCUAUAAAUUAGAUUUAGUAAAAAAAAGAAAAGAAAAAAAGUUAGAUUUAGCAUGUGACAAUAUAUGCACUGUGCUAGCUGUUUAUCUUAAUGAAGUAGUUAAAGGGUCAUAAUUUACUCAACCUCAAGUUGUUCCAAACACAUUUGAGUUUCUUUCUUUUUCUGAAAACAAAAGAAGAUAUUUUAAAGAAUGUUCAUUAAAUUAACUUGCACUUUUCUAUGCACUUUUUCAGAGGUAAAACUAAAGCUUUGGGCAUACUCGUCUUCUGUGAACAGUAAGACCUGUCUUCUUUGAUUUGAUUGGUCAUCUCACUUAUUUUGACAUUGACGAGCACUGUUAAACUGUUGAGACAGAGCAACCUAAAAACUUUGUCAUCCAAAUAACAAACAGAGCUGCGCGUAAUGGAGUCAAAGUCCCUUUCAAGGAAAGUAUGUUCACUCGGCGGCAACGCCUCCUGGCUGCUAUUUCGG